rnacentral:rRNA from 1 species
UUUAACGGCCGCGGCAUCUUGACCGUGCAAAGGUAGCGCAAUCACUAGCCUUUUAAUUGAAGGCCCGUAUGAAUGGCUAAACGAGGGCUCAUCUGUCUCCUCACCCCAGUCAAUGAAACUAAUCUCCCCGUGCAGAAGCGGGGAUACCCCCACAAGACGAGAAGACCCCAUGAAGCUUUAGACACCCUAAACCCAGGCUACUGCUACCCCCUUUCACCGGGACACUCCUGCCCGACCCCUUUUAACAUGUCUUUGGUUGGGGCGACCUAGGAGGAAAACUCAGCCUCCUUGUGAUAAGGGGCAAAACCCCUACCCCCCAGAACUACCCCUCUAAGCAGCCUAACCCUGACCUUAUGGACCCGGCAUUGCCGAUCAACGAAACGAGUUACUCUGGGGAUAACAGCGCAAUCCUCUCUGAGAGCCCAUAUCGAAGAGGGGGUUUACGACCUCGAUGUUGGAUCAGGGCAUCCUAAUGGUGUAGACGCUAUUAA